rnacentral:sRNA from 1 species
AGGCACUCACUUCCUCAUCGCCAGGCUCUGCACAUCGCUUAGGGUUGUAACAGUAGGGCCAGGCAUGUGAGGCCUCUGCGGGUCAUGGAGAACCUCCCUGCUGUGACCACUGAGGAGCUGACCCCCAUGAGGAGGGGUCCCGUGGGACCCUCAGGAGGUGGCAGCAGCCGGGACCAGGUCCGGACUGUGGCCAUGAGGCCCUCUGUGAGCUGGGAGAAAGCGGGGCCCAAGGAGGCCAAGGCGCCAGUGAGAGGCGACGAGCCUCCUCCCGCCCGCGUGGCUGGGCCUGCUGCUGGGACCCCUCCCUGUCAGAUAGGAGCUUAUCCCACAGACCUGACCCUGCAGCUGCUGGCUGUACGGAGGAAGAGUGGACUGCGGGACCCCGGCCUACAGCAGACCCUCCGGGGCCAGCUCCGCCUGCUGGAGAAUGACAGCCGGGAGAUGGCCCGCGUGCUCGGGGAAUUAUCAGCCAGGCUGCUGUCUAUCCACAGUGACCAGGACCGGAUCGUGGUGACGUUUAAGACUUUUGAAGAAAUCUGGAAAGUUUCCACU